rnacentral:tRNA from 1 species
UCUAAUAUGGCAGACUAGUGCAUUGAACUUAAACCUCAAACAUAAAGCUUACCCUUUUUUUAGAA